ACCGCAGGUAAGACGCGCCGAUCUGCGCCCGCGGCGGCCGGGCCUCCCCUCGCGCGCACCUGCGCGCCUCCGGGGCCGCGUGGGCGGCGGGCAGGGGGCCGAGGUGAGGGGUCCAGUGGGCCGGACAAAGGCGCGAGGGUGGGGGCUGCCGACGCACCUGGCCGGGCCGGUCCCCGCCGCCGCGGAGGCGGCCCGGGUCUGCGCCGGGCCGGGAGGGGCCGCCGAGCGCGCGUGUGCGCGGCCUGGAGAGAGGGGUCCCCACCCAGGCACCGGCUGGGCCCCGGCCGUCCGCGGCGGGCGCUGAUUCAGAGCCGGCGCCGCCCCCUCCCCCUCCGGGCCCAGCGCUCCCGCCGGCCGCCUCCCGGCCUGGCCUCAUCUCCACGGCCCCUCCCUCCACCUUCCUCCUCCUCUCUGUCUCCUCGUUUCCCUUCCCCGCCGCCGCCGCCGCCUCUCCGCCGUCCCUGCCUCCUCUCCCGGCCCGGCCCCGGCCUCGGUUCCGUCUGUCCCUUCCAGCCGCCCGCCGCCGCCGCCGCCGCUCCCAGCCCUUCCCAGCCCCUGCCCCGGGCGACUCCUCCUCCCCGCACCCCUGGGCGGGUGGCCCUUCUGGCUGGGGCGGCCGAGGGGACAAGUUUGGGGUGUUUAUUAUUCUCCCUCCUAGCAACGAUGGCCAGCCCAGCUCCGAACCGGCCGCAGGCUGCUGAGGAGCGUCCACCACUCCAGGCCCGGGCCUUUUUGGGAUGGGCUGGCAGUGGCAGGGGCGGCCUGGCUCGGCCACAGCCGCAUCACCGGGCUCUGGGGGUUUGGCCUCCCUUUGCCAGCAGAGGCUGUGGCCUUCUGUGGGUGGGGUCUCCGUUCCCAACUGCUGAUGGGGACCUAGUAGCAGGUGACGGCAGAGGGAGGGAGCUGGGCGGGGUGGGGGCUGGGAAGCACCGUGAUGGGGCGGGCAUGCCCCAGGGCUGCAGGGGCUUGGAGGUCCCCACCCCCCGGCCUCCAGGGGCGGCCCCUCCGGCUGGACCUUGA
rnacentral:lncRNA from 1 species